AGUGAACGCUGGCGGUAGGCCUAACACAUGCAAGUCGAACGGCAGCACAGUAAGAGCUUGCUCCUACGGUUGGCGAGGGGCGGACGGGUGAGGAAUACAUCGGCAUCUACUUUUUCGUGGGGGAUAACGUAGGGAAACUUACGCUAAUACCGCAUACGUCCUACGGGUGAAAGCAGGGGAUCUUCGGACCUUGCGCGACAGAAAGAGCCGAUGUCGGAUUGGCUGGUUGGCGGGGUAAGGGCCCACCAAGGCGACGAUCCGUAGCUGGCCUGAGAGGAUGAUCCGCACCCCUGGACCUGGGCCCCGGUCCAGCCUCCUACGGGAGGCAGCGGUGGGGAAUCUUCGCCAAUGGGCGCAAGCCUGCGCCAGCCAUACCGCGUAGGUGAAGAAGGCCUUCGGGUUGUAAAGCCCUUUUUUUGGGAAAGAAAAACAUCAGGUUAACACCCCGCUGUUCUGCCGGUACCCAACGAAUAAGCACCGGCUACCUUCGU
rnacentral:rRNA from 1 species